GUGUUCACUUCAGUAGCACAUAUACUAAAAUUGGAAUGAUACAGAGAAGAUAAGCAUGGCUCUUGCACAAAGUUGACAUGCAAAUUCAUGAAGCAUUCCAAAACACA